UUGUGCUAUGUACACUGUUGUGCGUGUAAUGUGUUGUGCCUUGCACACUGUUGUGCGUGUAUUGCGUUGUGCCUUGCACACCGUUGUGCGUGUAUUGCGUUGUGCCUUGCACACUGUUGUGCGUGUAUUGCGUUGUGCCUUGCACACCGUUGUGCGUGUAUUGCGUUGUGCCUUGCACACUGUUGUGCGUGUAUUGCGUUGUGCCUUGUACACCGUUGUGCGUGUAUUACGUUGUGCCUUGUAUACCGUUGUGCGUGUAUUGCGUUGUGCCUUGUACACCGUUGUGCGUGUAUUGCGUUGUGCCUUGUACACCGUUGUGCGUGUAUUGCGUUGUGCCAUGUACACUGUUGUGCGUGUAUUGUGUUGUGCCAUGUACACUGUUGUGCGUGUAAUGUGUUGUGCCUUGUAUACUGUUGUGCGUGUAUUGCGUUGUGCCUUGCACACCGUUGUGCGUGUAUUGCGUUGUGCCUUGUAUACUGUUGUGCGUGUAUUGUGUUGUGCCUUGUAGCAUGCCACUGUAGUUGUACUGUGUUGUGCCUUACAGCCCGUCGCCAGUACAAGUGCAAAGGAUCAGGAGUCGUUUCUCACCGCCAGGCAAGCAGCUAUAGAAACUGGCCUUUACCCAUGAUCAAGGCGAAUUCCAAGUCGAAAUGAGGAGAGAGAAGCGCAGCCAGGAUGCAACAUGAUGAUGGGUUAUCCAGCUGGUGAUUUGAAGACCUUAGGGUCUUUAUAUCAACAACUAGAUGUAAGGCAUGAAGGGAUGUUUGCUUCAAUUGUAGACUCUGGGAUUGUCAGUAUGCAAAGCACCAGGAGACAUUAUAGAGGCUCUCCAUGGCUAGAUCACUGGAAAACCUGAGUAGUACUGUAGUAUCUGGAAUUUCAUGGCAUUUCAUACAGCCCUUCUUGCCAUGCAUCUACAGUAAACACCCACAAUAAGAACCUACUUUUUUUCUGAGUUACUAUAGCCUAAACAUAUUCUUAUAUGAGAGGUGCUCAGUGAUAUUUUAGGCUAUUUACUAUAGCCUCUUCAUCUUAUAGUAGAUUCUUAUUUUUAAAUGAAGUUAUGGUAACAUUGUCUGGCAGACUUAUUAAUGUAGAUUGUAAAAAGAGACUUCUAAUUUUUCUUUUUUUUUUCUGACCAUCCUCAUCUCAAAAAUUGUGAACCGAAUGCUUGGCCUAAUAGGUACUUAUACAAAAAUGGGGUUCUAAUUUGAACAUUUUUGGCCAACAGGUUCUUAUACACAGGUGCUCACUGCAGUUGUAAAAGUUCAAUAUGUUCUAUUUAAAAAAGAUCUUUCUUUUUGGACCCUCA